ensembl:snRNA U6 U6 spliceosomal RNA
GUGAUCACUUCAGCAGCACAUACACUAAAAUUUGAAUGAUACAGAGAUUAGCAUGGCCUCUGCGUAAAGAUAACAUAAAAUUCAAGAAGCACUCCAUAUUUGU